rnacentral:tRNA from 4 species
CGCGAGGUGGAGCAGUCUGGUAGCUCGUCGGGCUCAUAACCCGAAGGUCGUUGGUUCAAAUCCAGCCUUCGCAACCA